AGAACGAACGUUAGCGGUGUGGAUUAGGCAUGCAAGUCGAGCGUGAAAGUCUUCGGACGAGUAAAGCGGCGAAAGGGUGAGUAAUACGUAAUCAAUCUGCCUUCGAGACCGGGAUAACCACUGGAAACGGUGGCUAAAACCGGAUGGACCCACCGGAAGGAGUCUUCUGGUGCGUAAACGGUAGCGCAAGCUUCUGCUCGGAGAGGAGAGUUACGGGCUAUCAGCUAGUUGG
rnacentral:rRNA from 1 species